GGGCCCUUAGCUCAGUCGGUAGAGCUGCUGGCUUUUAACCAGUAGGUCGGGGGUUCGAGUCCCUCAGGGCCCACCA
rnacentral:tRNA from 1 species